ACUCCUACGGGAGGCAGCAGUUUCGAAUCAUUCACAAUGGGCGAAAGCCUGAUGGUGCGACGCCGCGUGGGGGAUGAAGGUCUUCGGAUUGUAAACCCCUGUCACCAGGGACAAAAAGACAUUGGUUAAUAGCCGGUGUCCUGAUUUAACCUGGAGAGGAAGCAGUGGCUAACUCUGUGCCAGCAGCCGCGGUAAUACAGAGACUGCAAGCGUUAUUCGGAUUCACUGGGCGUAAAGGGUGCGCAGGCGGCCAGGUAUGUCAGGUGUGAAAGCCCGGGGCUUAACCCCGGAACUGCGCCUGAAACUACCUGGCUAGAGUUUCGGAGAGGGAAGCGGAAUUCUCGGUGUAGCGGUGAAAUGCGUAGAUAUCGAGAGGAACACCAAUGGCGAAGGCAGCUUCCUGGACGACAACUGACGCUCAGGCACGAAAGCGUGGGGAGCGAAAGGGAUUAGAAACCCGAGUAGUCC
rnacentral:rRNA from 1 species